GAUGAACGCUGGCGGCGUGCCUAAUACAUGCAAGUCGAGCGAAUGGAUUAAGAGCUUGCUCUUAUGAAGUUAGCGGCGGACGGGUGAGUAACACGUGGGUAACCUGCCCAUAAGACUGGGAUAACUCCGGGAAACCGGGGCUAAUACCGGAUAACAUUUUGAACCGCAUGGUUCGAAAUUGAAAGGCGGCUUCGGCUGUCACUUAUGGAUGGACCCGCGUCGCAUUAGCUAGUUGGUGAGGUAACGGCUCACCAAGGCAACGAUGCGUAGCCGCCCGGGAGGGGGGAUCGGCCACACGGGGACUGAGACACGGCCCAGACGCCGACGGGAGGCAGCAGUAGGGAAUCUUCCGCAAUGGACGAAAGUCUGACGGAGCAACGCCGCGUGAGUGAUGAAGGCUUUCGGGUCGUAAAACUCUGUUGUUAGGGAAGAACAAGUGCUAGUUGAAUAAGCUGGCACCUUGACGGUACCUAACCAGAAAGCCACGGCUAACUACGUGCCAGCCGCCGCGGUAA
rnacentral:rRNA from 1 species